rnacentral:rRNA from 1 species
UACAGAGGGGGCAAGCGUUGUUCGGAAUUACUGGGCGUAAAGGGCGCGUAGGCGGCCGCCUAAGUCAGACGUGAAAUCCCUCGGCUCAACCGGGGAACUGCGUCUGAUACUGGGUGGCUUGAAUCCGGGAGAGGGAUGCGGAAUUCCAGGUGUAGCGGUGAAAUGCGUAGAUAUCUGGAGGAACACCGGUGGCGAAGGCGACAUCCUGGACCGGCAUUGACGCUGAGGCGCGAAAGCCAGGGGAGCAAACGGG